UACGUAGGGUGCGAGCGUUGUCCGGAAUUAUUGGGCGUAAAGGGCUCGUAGGCGGUUUGUCGCGUCGGGAGUGAAACCUUGGGCUUAACUCAGGGCUUGCUUGAUACGGGCAGACUAGAGGUAUGCAGGGGAGAACGGAAUUCCUGGUGUAGCGGUGAAAUGCGCAGAUAUCAGGAGGAACACCGUGGCGAAGGCGGUUCUCUGGGCAUGAUCUGACGCUGAGGAGCGAAAGUGUGGGGGAGCGAACAGG
rnacentral:rRNA from 1 species